GUCAGGAUGGGCUGAGCGGUCUAAGGCGCCAGACUCAUAUUCUGUCCACGAAUGUGCGGUUCGAAUCCCACUUCUGACA